CAGCAACCACCAUCAUUAGAGAUUUGCCUUUUUUGCUAAUGAGUAAAUCAGUUUCCAGACAGUGCCCGAAGGCAGCACAUGACAUGCUGAUGUCAAACAUGGUACUUCUCCAGAGCACCCCAGAUGGAUGGACAUGCCCAGUUCUCAGCACUGAAGGACUCACAUCCAAGGCAGCAUGAUCCCCAUACUCAACCCUGAAGGCAAACCCUCACAUUAAGAUGCUGACAAGCAGUAACAAAAAAACUGAAGAGCUGUACUCAAAGGAAGUUGAAAGCAAAAGUUAGGAGUUAAAGGAACUUGUUUGUCAGAGGGCUGGCUGGACUAAC
ensembl:lncRNA